GUGAGGAAUUUUCCGCAAUGGGCGAAAGCCUGACGGAGCAAUGCCGCGUGAAGGAUGAAGGCCUAUGGGUUGUAAACUUCUUUUCUCAGAAAAGAAUUAACGGUAUCUGAGGAAUAAGCAUCGGCUAACUCUGUGCCAGCAGCCGCGGUAAGACAGAGGAUGCAAGCGUUAUCCGGAAUGAUUGGGCGUAAAGCGUCUGUAGGUUGUUUAAAAAGUAUUCUGUCAAAGAUUAGGGCUUAACCCUAGAUAGGCAGAAUAAACUUUUAAGCUAGAGUUUGGUAGAGGCAGAGGGAAUUCCCGGUGGAGCGGUGAAAUGCGUAGAUAUCGGGAGGAACACCAAAGGCGAAGGCACUCUGCUGGGCCAAUACUAACACUGAGAGACGAAAGCGAGGGGAGCAAAUGGGAUUAGAAACCCUUGUAGUCC
rnacentral:rRNA from 1 species